GUCAUUCCCUCCGCAAACCCCUCUGCAGCGAAAACAUUGCCUAUUCAGGGUAUGACAAAAGUGGCACCUUUAGUGGCCUCAAUGGCUCCUGCUAUCCUGCACAACAAAAAGGAUGUCGGUAAUCUGCUCAUUCGACAAUCUUCUCGUGUCGGUAAUUCGAGUUUGGUUUUACGGAAGUUCCAUCCGUACGGCGUGCGAUCCAUAUUAGGGUUUAGAUCUCCCAUUCGAGUCCACUUUUCAAACUGGACACGACGCCAAUGCCGCACAAUGCCUGCAUUGGGGCCUAAAUGGAAGCAACAGUAGAAGGUCCGCUUUGUGAUGGAGUCUUUGGAAGGGAGAGUCGAAUCGAGGAGGUCCACAAUUGCCGAGAGCAGUAACCCUAAACACGUGACGGGAGUGUAUGGGAUUCUAUUCAAGAAUGCGUCAUAUACCCCACGCAAUGCAGUUUCAGCCAUUUGUCGAAUAAUUCAAUUGCCGGGAUAAUGAAGCGUGACAGUGCCGCAGUUUCUGAAGCCGAUCGUUGGCAGGGAUGUGGGCAUGCCGCGAGUUUUCUGCGUAUUGGAUCUCGGAUGAGAUUAUCUGUUUUUUGACUCUUCGCUUACAGUAAAGGAUGUCUCUGUGGCGUCAGCAUUUGAGGCGGUGUGUUGAUGUAGCAGUGGGACCUGCAUUUGGUUGGAUCAUUUUAUUUUAUUUUUUUUACAUUUGAGUUAUUGCGCCAGGUGGGAUGAUUUGCUAUUGCAUUGCGUUGUGGUUAGGUUGUGCUGAUGCCUCGGUUGGCGACAGGGUUACGGGUUACGUGUUUGUCAGCUUUACUCAGAGCCUCUUGACGCAAUGAGCGUGGUCCAUGACCUGCAGAAAUGGCGUAGUUCACAUAAUCAGCGUGAUUUGUUUCAAAUGCAGCGCUAGGCAUGUGGUUUUGUAGGAUUAUGCAAGGUUGAUGCUAAACUAGAAAUGUGCGCAUAAGCGGGGCUGGUCCAAAAAGGAUGAUAUGAACGUAAGUUAGAAGGUUACAGCUUGAAAGAAUAAGCUUGCCUACACGCUUCCAUAGACAUAUUACUAGAAUUCAGGGUAUAAAUUUUGCACAGAAUUGCUUUGAAAACUGAGGAUUGCUAUGACACAGCAAUUCUUUGUGUGUUGUGUGUAAUUCCUAGACGUUGGAAGGCAAGAACACACACACACGAAUAUACAAAGAUAAAGCUGUUAAGAAAGCGAUAAAAAAU